UCUCCCAAGGACACACAGGGAGUUCAAUUUGGAAUGCAAAGAACAAAUUAUGUCAGCUGGGGGGGCAGCGUUCAUCCUUAACACAUUCAGAACCUGCUAUGUGUUCUGUGUCCAAUGUUUCUGAAAAAUAUGGCAAUUCAAAAAGGCAAAUUCAAGGGACCCUUGGUUAAUAAAAAGUGAUAUACUCCCCAGGGAAGAGAGAGUCCUCUGGGGCAGAUGGAAGAUACCUGGUCUCUUGCCACCUUCCCUCAAAGGACACUAUGAGCACUAUAUUUAAUUUUCCUCCCUCUUGUUUUUCUUUUUUUGUCUUUUCAUUUCUCUCAUUCCUGCACAUAUUGAAUGUAAGGAAGAAAAAUAGACAUUGAAAGUGGCAAAGGAUGUUCUAGGUCUGUGUUUGAGUCAAGGUUUAGCCAGAGAAUACAUUUCUCUAUCUCUUCCUGUGAAUCCCUUAAGGUUAACAUUAUGCCUGCACUUCUUCAUCCUUAGGAGUGCUUCCAGGAAGAGCUUAGCUUUCUACCUCUCCUGCACAAAUGUCCUACCACAGCUGGUACUGUUACCUUUGAAAAGUGAGUUUACUUCAGGUUCUCCACCUUUGUGCCUGUGAAUCCCUUAAAGUUAAUGUGAUUUCUCCAUUUAAGGGUCCUAAGAUUAUUCCAGUGAAAAGCUUCACAAUCUCCCUCUUCUGGACAAAUUUCAUUUUGAAAAAUUCACUGUUAGUUCAGAUAGGUGAGUAUAAAGAAUUGAAUUUGCUUAAGAAUUUUAUAGAGUUUGGGGGUGGGGCCAUCAGUGAAGACAGCCCCAGGCUGGGGCCUCCUGAUGGGCCAAUUAAAUAGUUCCACUGCACCCCUGACCCAUCUUUCUCUGUAAGUGCUCCUAUACAUCUCUAACAGUAAAAAGAAAAUAAUAUAUACUCUAUAAAGAAAGUUGCACAUUUUGUGUCACUUUUGAGACUCUGAGCAAACUGAAAUUAGUAAUUUUCUUAUCCUAUUGUUGCAGGGGAGAGAUCAGAGGAGAACACAGGAUAAGUAACUUGGUUACUUGACAGGUCUGUCCAAUUGACAGGAAUUAAAUGAUGCCAAGACAUGUGAAGUUAUUCAAGCCAGGAGCACAUACUGCCUGCAUCACUGAGGAUCAUUCCCAGGAAGAGCUAAGCAGUAUUCCCCUUAUGGACAAAUUUCAUUUUGAGAAACAUAUUGUUUCUUUUCAAAGGUCAGAGAGCUGAGGAGGAGUGAGGUCACCUGACUUGGCCUUCUUGAUAUGUCUGGAUGGUAAUAUCCUGGAAGAUUUGAGAAGUCACUGUCGUGUUGACAGAUUUUCUCAGGUAACCAUCCCUCUUCCUUUUGAAAGCCGAAUUGGAGGGGAAGACAAGAGAAAGAAAAGAAGAAACAAUUCAGCAAAGUGAAGAUUAUUUCUGAAAACAUCUGAGAUAUGAUUGGCAAAGAAGUAUCUGGUCAAAAUAUGAAAGAAACAAGACAGGUGCAGUUGUGUCAAGGGCUUUAAUCUAAACUUUAAAAAAAGGAGAUAAAGUUUGACCAAAUUAUGGAAAUAUGCCCAAAG